rnacentral:rRNA from 1 species
GAUGAACGCUGGCGGCGUGCCUAAUACAUGCAAGUCGAGCGAACAGAUGAGGAGCUUGCUCCUCUGACGUUAGCGGCGGACGGGUGAGUAACACGUGGAUAACCUACCUAUAAGACUGGGAUAACUUCGGGAAACCGGAGCUAAUGCCGGAUAAUAUAUUGAACCGCAUGGUUCAAUAGUGAAAGACGGUUUUGCUGUCACUUAUAGAUGGAUCCGCGCCGCAUUAGCUAGUUGGUAAGGUAACGGCUUACCAAGGCAACGAUGCGUAGCCGACCUGAGAGGGUGAUCGGCCACACUGGAACUGAGACACGGUCCAGACUCCUACGGGAGGCAGCAGUAGGGAACCUUCCGCAAAGGGCGAAAGCUUGACGGAGCAACGCCGCGUGAGUGAUGAAGGUCUUCGGAUCGUAAAACUCUGUUAUUAGGGAAGAACAAAUGUGUAAGUAACUAUGCACGUCUUGACGGUACCUAAUCAGAAAGCCACGGCUAACUACGUG